ACGCGAAUUUUUAGGACGAUUUUUCCUUUUUUCUGUAUUUUUCUGUUAAAGCAAUGAUUUUUUCAACAUUUUCAACAUUUAAUAAUUAAAGUGGCUAUGUUUUUAACAUAAUUCGAACAAAAUUAUGGUUUUCGUUCGCUCUAUUCUCCAAAAUUUUCAUUUUUUUAUAUGGAACAUUUUUAUUU
ensembl:snoRNA K04D7.17 ncRNA